GUUUUGGGUUCCAGGAGGGGCUGCUGAUGGAGGGGGCAUGAGUUCUCUAUGUGACAGGAGCUGGGGUCCUGCUAAACAGAGAGGUGUGGCUGAAGUCUAAGGAUUUGGAUUAAGGGGCUGGGAGGAGAGCUGUUACUUUGCCAGCAUUGCAUAGGAGAGCCUGUGAUGUAUGAGGGGUGCUGCCUCUUUGUUGGGGUGACUGCAUGUAACAGCACUCUGUAACACACAUUGUUACACACUGGAUGUAUCUGCUCAGCAGACAUGAGGACAGGGAACAGACUUUGUGUUACUGCCUGGGCUCUGUGUCAGCUGUGGUCCCUGCUCAUGGGGGCAAUUCUAACCUCUGAUGGAGCUCUGGAUGCUGAAGAGACCUUGGAGAUGGGCUCUGGUCAGAUGACAG